rnacentral:rRNA from 1 species
AUUGAACGCUGGCGGCAGGCCUAACACAUGCACGUCGAGCGAGCGGCGGACGGGUGAGUAAUGUCUGGGAAACUGCCUGAUGGAGGGGGAUAACUACUGUCAACGGUAGCUAAUACCGCAUACCCUCGGAUGUGCCCAGAUGGGAUUAGUUAGUAGGUGGGGUAAAGGCUCACCUAGGCGACGAUACCUAUCUGGUCUGAGAGGAUGACCAGCCACACUGGAACUGCGACACGCGCCAGACUCCUACGGGAGGCAGCAGUGGGGAAUAUUGCACAAUGGGCGCAAGCCUGAUGCAGCCAUGCCGCGUGUAUGAAGAAGGCCUUCGGGUUGUAAAGUACGUUCAGCGGGGAGGCGUUACCCGCAGAAGAAGCAACGGCUAACUCCGUGCCAGCAGCCGCGGUAAUAC